rnacentral:lncRNA from 1 species
AAAAGUUUGUUUUUCAAACUCUGAGUUUCUUGGGCCAUAGUUUUAAAAAAAGCCUCUAAGUAAACCAGAGGCCAAAGUUGGAUAACCCUGCGUACAGGCUGGGCAUUAAUUGGGGUAACAUGGACUCACUCUGUUGAGAGUCAUUAGGGAAAAGAAUUUGUAGGGAAUGAGGAAAGUGCAGUGGAGGUUUCUGUUGGAGGAGGUCAUUAAGAGGACGUGACCUCUGCUUGACCCUUGGGCUGAACCUAGGCAACUAGAGGCUCCUCAUCUCCUCUCCUGUCCUUGGAAUGUGUAUUCUGUCUAUUGUUCCCACAGUAGGAGCCAUUUCAAGGGCACAGCCUUAAGAGUGCAACGUGCUGGGGAGACCAGCAGGAUGGUAAUGGCACCGAACUCUGUUAAGGCUUCUAUAGAAGCUUUGAAGAUUCAGGUGCUUGGGUGCAGAGAUCAUCCUGCAGACACCCAAGACAAGCCUGCAUUUUCUGUAUCUUGUGCCUGGUAUCCGACGUUAGUUACAGAAUAAACAGUACUUUGCAAAGACUGACAGGGUCAGCUGCUCUGGGAAUGUGACCGGUGACCUCCCGGAUGGAUUAUCGUCCUGCAGGCUGCUUCCAAGUCAGUUGAAAGGUAAGCAUUCUUUCUGUAUAAGUGCACGCUGCUUUGGAACAUGGUUCAAUUUCAACUGAU